rnacentral:pre_miRNA from 1 species
UGCUGGAUUGAGUCAUAUACUUGGCACAGUUUAUCAAGUAUUUAAUUCAGUCCAACAGC